rnacentral:rRNA from 1 species
AACGAACGCUGGCGGCAGGCCUAACACAUGCAAGUCGAACGCCCCGCAAGGGGAGUGGCAGACGGGUGAGUAACGCGUGGGAACGUGCCUUUCGGUUCGGAAUAGGCCGGGGAAACCCGGGUUAAUACCGGAUACGUCCUUAGGGAGAAAGAUUUAUCGCCGAAAGAUCGGCCCGCGUCUGAUUAGCUAGUUGGCGGGGUAAUGGCCCACCAAGGCGACGAUCAGUAGCUGGUCUGAGAGGAUGAUCAGCCACACUGGGACUGAGACACG